rnacentral:piRNA from 1 species
UCCAGUAUUUCUUGUACCCUACGAAAAU